rnacentral:rRNA from 1 species
GCUCAGGAUGAACGCUGGCGGCGUGCCUAAUACAUGCAAGUCGAGCGAAUGGAUUAAGAGCUUGCUCUUAUGAAGUUAGCGGCGGACGGGUGAGUAACACGUGGGUAACCUACCCAUAAGACUGGGAUAACUCCGGGAAACCGGGGCUAAUACCGGAUAAUAUUUUGAACUGCAUAGUUCGAAAUUGAAAGGCGGCUUCGGCUGUCACUUAUGGAUGGACCCGCGUCGCAUUAGCUAGUUGGUGAGGUAACGGCUCACCAAGGCGACGAUGCGUAGCCGACCUGAGAGGGUGAUCGGCCACACUGGGACUGAGACACGGCCCAGACUCCUACGGGAGGCAGCAGUAGGGAAUCUUCCGCAAUGGACGAAAGUCUGACGGAGCAACGCCGCGUGAGUGAUGAAGGCUUUCGGGUCGUAAAACUCUGUUGUUAGGGAAGAACAAGUGCUAGUUGAAUAAGCUGGCACCUUGACGGUACCUAACCAGAAAGCCACGGCUAACUACGUGCCAGCAGCCGCGGUAAUACGUAGGUGGCAAGCGUUAUCCGGAAUUAUUGGGCGUAAAGCGCGCGCAGGUGGUUUUUUAAGUUUGAUGUGAAAGCCCACGGCUCAACCGUGGAGGGUCAUUGGAAACUGGGAGACUGAGGCAGAAGAGAAA